rnacentral:rRNA from 2 species
UACACUUGACAUCCCUUGCAUUACUCUUAAUCGAGGAAAUCCCUUCGGGGACAAGGUGACAGGUGGUGCAUGGUUGUCGUCAGCUCGUGUCGUGAGAUGUUGGGUUAAGUCCCGCAACGAGCGCAACCCUUGUCGUUAGUUACUACCAUUAAGUUGAGGACUCUAGCGAGACUGCCUGGGUUAACCAGGAGGAAGGUGGGGAUGACGUCAAAUCAUCAUGCCCCUUAUGUGUAGGGCUACACACGUGCUACAAUGGCUGGUACAGAGAGAUGCAAUACCGCGAGGUGGAGCCAAACUUAAAAACCAGUCUCAGUUCGGAUUGUAGGCUGAAACUCGCCUACAUGAAGCUGGAGUUACUAGUAAUCGCGAAUCAGAAUGUCGCGGUGAAUACGUUCCCGGGUC